UACGUAGGGUGCAAGCGUUAAUCGGAAUUACUGGGCGUAAAGCGUGCGCAGGCGGCUUUGCAAGACAGAUGUGAAAUCCCCAGGCUCAACCUGGGAACUGCGUCCGAUACUGGAUGGCUUGAAUCCGGGAGAGGGAUGCAGAAUUCCAGGUGUAGCGGUGAAAUGCGUAGAUAUCUGGAGGAAUACCGGUGGCGAAGGCGGCAUCCUGGACCGGCAUUGACGCUGAGGAGCGAAAGCCAGGGGAGCAAACGGG
rnacentral:rRNA from 1 species